AUUGAACGCUGGCGGCAGGCCUAACACAUGCAAGUCGAGCGGAUGAGUGGAGCUUGCUCCAUGAUUCAGCGGCGGACGGGUGAGUAAUGCCUAGGAAUCUGCCUGGUAGUGGGGGACAACGUUUCGAAAGGAACGCUAAUACCGCAUACGUCCUACGGGAGAAAGCAGGGGACCUUCGGGACUUGCGCUAUCAGAUGAGCCUAGGUCGGAUUAGCUAGUAGGUGAGGUAAUGGCUCACCUAGGCGACGAUCCGUAACUGGUUUGAGAGGAUGAUCAGUCACACUGGAACUGAGACACGGUCCAGACUCCUACGGGAGGCAGCAGUGGGGAAUAUUGGACAAUGGGCGAAAGCCUGAUCCAGCCAUGCCGCGUGUGUGAAGAAGGUCUUCGGAUUGUAAAGCACUUUAAGUUGGGAGGAAGGGUUGUACGUUAAUACCGUGCAAUUUUGACGUUACCGACAGAAUAAGCACCGGCUAACUCUGUGCCAGCCGCCGCGGUAACAC
rnacentral:rRNA from 1 species